AUUUAGUGCCCAAGAAAUUAUUACAAAUAUUCGAAAAAUAAUUAAUUCAAAAGUAGGAGUUUUAGUUGGUGUCCUUGCAGUAGCUGCUGGACUUAGUUCAAUUGCUGCACCAAGAUAUAAAGAAUAUAAACGACAAAAUUCAAAAGAAGCUGCAGAUUUUCUUUACGAUUAUGAAG